GACGAACGCUGGCGGCGUGCCUAAUACAUGCAAGUUGAGCGCUGAAGGUUGGUACUUGUACCAACUGGAUGAGCAGCGAACGGGUGAGUAACGCGUGGGGAAUCUGCCUUUGAGCGGGGGACAACAUUUGGAAACGAAUGCUAAUACCGCAUAAAAACUUUAAACACAAGUUUUAAGUUUGAAAGAUGCAAUUGCAUCACUCAAAGAUGAUCCCGCGUUGUAUUAGCUAGUUGGUGAGGUAAAGGCUCACCAAGGCGAUGAUACAUAGCCGACCUGAGAGGGUGAUCGGCCACAUUGGGACUGAGACAAGGCCCAAAAUCAUACGGGAGGCAGCAGUAGGGAAUCUUCGGAAAUGGACGAAAGUCUGACCGAGCAACGCCGCGUGAGUGAAGAAGGUUUUCGGAUCGUAAAACUCUGUUGGUAGAGAAGAACGUUGGUGAGAGUGGAAAGCUCAUCAAGUGACGGUAACUACCCAGAAAGGGACGGCUAACUACGUG
rnacentral:rRNA from 1 species